GAUGAACGCUAGCUACAGGCUUAACACAUGCAAGUCGAGGGACCGGCGCACGGGUGAGUAACACGUAUCCAACCUGCCCUUUACUCGGGGCUAGCCUCCCGAAAGAAAGAUUAAUACCCGAUAUAAAGGAUGGGGAUGCGUUCCAUUAGGUUGUUGGUGAGGUAACGGCACACCAAGCCUUCGAUGGAUAGGGGUUCUGAGAGGAAGGUCACACACAUUGGAACUGAGACACGGUCCAAACACCUACGGGAGGCAGCAGUGAGGAAGAUUGGUGAAUGGGCGCUAGCCUGAACCAGCCAAGUAGCGUGAAGGGUGAAGGCUUAUGGGUCGUAAACUUCUUUUAUAUAAGAAUAUGUAUUAGAUGAAUAAGGAUCGGCUAACUCCGUGCCAGCAGCCGCGGUAAUUC
rnacentral:rRNA from 1 species